CGAACGGGUGAGUAACACGUGGGUAAUCUCCACCCCGAGUGAGGAAUAAGUCUGAGAAAGCGGGUCUAAUACCGCAUGACGUCCCGGGACGUAUGUCCUUGGACCAAAGCCGUAAGGCGCUUGGGGAUGAGCCUGCGUCCUAUUAGCUAGUUGGUAGGGUAACGGCCUACCAAGGCGAUGAUGGGUAGCCGGCCUGAGAGGGUGAACGAGCACACUGGAACUGAGAUUUCGGUCCAUACUCCUACGGGAGGCAGCAGUGAGGAAUUUAGCGCAAUGGGCGAAAGCCUGACGCAGCGACGCCGCGUGGAGGAAGACGGCCUUCGGGUUGUAAACUCCUGUCAGAGGUGAAGAAUGCCCGCAAGGGCUUGACGGUAACCUCAGAGGAAGCCCCGGCUAACUACGUGCCAGCAGACGCGGUAAUACGUAGGGGGCGAGCGUUGCUCGGAAUUACUGGGCGUAAAGGGAGUG
rnacentral:rRNA from 1 species